UGAUGUUCCACAUCUCACUCUUGAUGUGUCCAUCUGAAAUAUAAGGCAGCAGCUUUAGUGAAUAGAGUUAUUGCUGUAUUUCUACCUUCAGGAUUCCCAAACGUGGGUAAAUCCUCAGUUAUAAACAGCCUGGUGGGCAGGAAGGUGGUGAGUGUAUCUCGAACCCCAGGCCACACCAAAUAUUUCCAGACCUACUAGAUGUGGCAGCAGCUGUGGAGGGUUUUGAAGAUGUCAGAAUACUCGUUGUGGACAUCAGGCACUCUUUACAUGACCGUAAUCACAUGUUGCUGAAAUAUGUAGAUUUGUAGUGUGGAAUAUAUAUAUAAAGGAAGCCAUUGAUGAGGAUAUUUUUACAUUUUACACAAUGUGGCUGCAGGUGGGAAGAGUUAUUUUUACAGCAUGUGUAUCACUGACAGCAGAAAAUCUGUUCCAGACAUUAAGUGCUUGCGUGUGAACUAUUGGGGACUCUUGUUUUUUGGGGACUACAGGGGACUCUUGGUUUUAGGGGACUACAUGGGACUCUUGUUUUUUGGGGACUACAGGGGCCUCUUGGUUUUAGGGGACUACAUGGGACUCUUGUUUUUUGGGGACUACAGGGGACUCUUGUUUUUUGGGGACUACAUGGGACUCUUGGUUUUUGGGGACUACAGGGGCCUCUUGGUUUUAGGGGACUACAUGGGACUCUUGUUUUUUGGGGACUACAGGGGACUCUUGUUUUUUGGGGACUACAGGGGACUCUUGUUUUUUGGGGACUACAGGGGACUCUUGUUUUUUGGGGACUACAGGGGACUCUUGUGUUUUGGGGACUACAGGGGACUCUUGUUUUUUGGGGACUACAGGGGACUCUUGUGUUUUGGGGACUACAGGGGACUCUUGUUUUUUGGGGACUACAGGGGACUCUUGUGUUUUGGGGACUACAGGGGACUCUUGUUUUUUGGGGACUACAGGGGACUCUUGUUUUUUGGGGACUACAGGGGACUCUUGUUUUUUGGGGACUACAUGGGACUCUUGGUGUUUUGGGGACUACAGGGGACUCUUGUUUUUUGGGGACUACAGGGGACUCUUGUGUUUUGGGGACUACAGGGGACUCUUGUUUUUUGGGGACUACAGGGGACUCUUGUUUUUUGGGGACUACAGGGGACUCUUGUUUUUUGGGGACUACAUGGGACUCUUGGUGUUUUGGGGACUACAAGGGACUCUUGUUUUUUGGGGACUACAUGGGACUCUUGGUUUUUGGGGACUACAGGGGACUCUUGGUUUUUUGGGGACUACAGGGGACUCUUGUUUUUUGGGGACUAUUGGGGACUCUUUUGUUUGAGCUUGUUUCGUAUCCACCCCCCCAAACCAAUAAAUGUACAGGUCAAGGAAGACUCGGCACCAUACAAGGGCAGACAUCUUCUCUUUUUUGGUCAGCAUUUUUAAAUAUGUACACCAUCUACAGCAAGGGGAGCUCAGUUCCAACAUGAACAGUGGAAACCCAUCUCUUGUCGUUGAGAAUCGCAAAGUGUGGAUCAUCUGCAUUUUUUGCAGUUUUUCUCCCUUCUUCACGACUCCAAUUGAUUGUGGAUAGAGGGCUCAAGGUUCUCUGUUCAUCACCAUAGUUUCCUGUAAAUUGUGGUCCAUUGUCUGUCAUGACAACCACGGGAAUAUCACAGUGUUCAAAUAUUGCUUUAGUUUAUGUCCCAACUUACACAACAGUCGUGUCACUCAGACAUAUGAAUUCUGGGUCGUUGGCCUAAUAAUCAAUGACUAACAGGCAGUCCUUGCCUUCAAGCUGACAAAGAUCCAUCCUAAAAUUCCGCACAACUCCCGAGCCUUGUCGUGUUGCCUCAUUGGCUUCUCAGGGUGUGGGUGCUCCUGGUUCAGCUUUAUCUUUUAGCCUAAUUUUGUGUUUGCCUGGAUGAAAGAACUCUCUGCCUCAACUGUUCACAAGUUUUUAAAUUGAAAACAGUGUUUGUUUCUUCCAGGAAGCAUGAUUUUGUGUGUCACCUUGGAUUUUUUUUAGUAGUUUUUAGUCUCUUUGUCUCUGCCACUGUGUCCAGUGUCGGUGGAAUCUCAGUGCCACUCACAUCGAAAUGAGCUAUUCAUUCAUCCUUCAAAGCCGUCUGCGCCUCCUCGUCUGCAUCUAUGAACAUCGUCUCCUUGUAUUCACUGGUGCCACUCUGCUUUUCUAUAAAAUGCACUUUUUUCUCAGAGAAAGAGCAUUUCCACCUGUCUUUUCCGAAGCCUGCGCACUCUUUCUUGCAGUUCCUCCUGUAUGACUGAGGCUUUAGAGUUGUGUGUCUUUUCUUCAUGGACUUCCUCAGUCCAAUUCAGCAGCUUCUGUCUCGCUGCUAAAAGCCCUUUUCUCUGCUUUUGUGUUCCGUGAAGCCUGGCAUCCCUUAAUAGCUUUUUCAUGCAUGAGAUUAGUCUCAUUUGAGUAAAUGUAUUCUCUCUUUAUUAACCAGUACACGAAUCACAAUCUGGUCAUAUGGUAUUGACUCACUUAAUGUACCAAAGUUGCAUGGCUGACUUUUCAGCCGCAUGUCUCUUAUUUCUCCGUUUGAACGUGGUUUCUGACAACAUAUCUCUCCUAUCGAUUAUUUUUCUCAGACUUUGACAUGUUGAAUUAAUCUUUCCAGUCCUCUAUGAAGUCAAGCGUGUUGUACAUGUCCAGCGCACUGUGGCCUCCCACUGUUAGCAUCAGCGCUGUCUUCUGUUUGGCAUCUCCUUCCAGACGGAUGGCAACUGUGUCGUGGAAAAGGCCAUGAGACUGGCCGAUCGCCAUCUUUAGGAAAGGCAAAUCAGGUUCCAAACCCUAAUCCUUAACGUACUCUUCUGUACUGGCUUAAGAGGUAUCUCAGAGGAUUUUUUUUGUUUUUUUUAAUUCUGUAAGGGGAAGAAAGUAAACACAUGCAAAAACAUACAAUAAAAAAUGUAUUUAGGGAAUUAUUAGGGAAUAUAACUGUUAUUUUUAUUGAGGGGUGAGUAUGGUUUAUAAUGAAUACCCAGACAGGUGCCCUUUCAUUACACUUUCUUAUUAACAUUAUUCUGCAGCACUUUAAACAUCCCGACACUAAAUGAUGCUCCGGGUUCAAACCUAAUAACAGUAAUUGAUUAUAUCAAAGUCCAGAAAUGAUUUCAGCUAAAUUUCAACCCAGUGAUGCUUCUGUUUCAGACUGCUGCAUGUCAGCAGCUCCUGUUUCAGAUCACUCUGUUAUUACGUUGGGUUUUAAACCCUCUGCUGGAAGCCGUAGCUCAAGAGCUCCUGGAGAUUCUGUUCAAUGUUAUUAAAUUUUCAAGCGUAUUUUCAUGGUGUAAAAUCUCCUCUCCAAGUGUUUCAAAGUAGGAGAUUAUAAAAUUCUAAAGUUUAGAUUUUUUUUUAUUCUUUCAACAAAAUUAACAAACUAGCACGCCUUAAUUUAAUUAAAGAAAUAAACACAUAUGUAAUAAGGAAUCACCAACUGACUCUUAGGAAGUAAUAACUCUGCAAAGAAACCCUUGAUGUUUAUCUCAAAAAAGCAGAAGUGGCCCACAAAGUAAAAGAUCCAGAGCAAAAUGGAUUGAAGAUGGCGAUAACUUAUUUCUGUCAAAACACUUUAAUCACUGUAUAGAUGUGAGCUGAUAUUAUCACGUUUGUACUGGACAAGGCUGUCGACGGCUUGUCUUUGAAUCUCCCCGCUGUGACGGCCGGACAUCGAAACGCCACCAACACUGUUUGGUCCAAUCAAAAAAUCUUUUGUUCGUGUUUAUCCCAAUAACUUAAACAGGAAUCUAGUCCCUGUUCACCAUCGAACAGGGACCUCCAACAAAUGCUGGGACGGUUCGCGACCGAGUGUGAAGCGGCAGGGAUGCGGAUCAGCACCUCCAAGUCAGAGUCCAUGGUCCUCGCUCGGAAAAAGGUAGAGUGUCUUCUCCGGGUCGGGGAGGAGGUCCUGCCCCAGGUGGAGGAGUUCAAGUAUCUCGGGAUCUUGUUCACGAGUGAGGGUGGGAUGGAACGGGAGAUCGAACGGCGGAUCAGAGCGGCGUCAGCAGCUUAACCGAUCCAUCGUGGUGAAGAAGGAGCUGAGCCGGAAGGCGAAGCUCUCGAUUUACCGGUCGAUCUGACAAUCUAGAUCAAAUAAUCUAGACAAAAUUUAAGUAACUCUCGAUCUACAUUUACGAAAGAUCUGUUGCCAAGAUGCAUGUGGUGAUUGAACUCCUAGAUUAUUAACUCUUAACAGAAGAUGGUGGCUUUAUUUUGGUUCUUGCCUUUGUCUCAUUUGAAAAUGUCCUUUUUCAGUGCUUAUAUAUUUAGAUUUUAAUAAUAAUGCUGGUUAAUGAAGCAGGUGCAUCACCAAGAUUUUCUAUUAAACCUGGGAACAAACAAGACUUUCUUUAUAAAUCUGGAAUUGUGAUUCUGAUUGUGACAGAUGCUGUAUAAAUAAAGAUUGAUUGGUAAGGAUGAAAUAAAGCACAGUUUUGACAGAAAUGCUCAGUAUUUUGUUUUAAAUUCAAACCUGUUGUCAUUAGCCAGCUUGCAGAUGAUGCGAACAUCUUUAUGAGACCCCAAACUCAGGUCCCGAGAUAAUUCAACCGCUCAAUCCAAUUUCUUUAUAAGAACAAUUAGAGUUAAUGCCGAUGCGCCAAAGGGAUUUAACAGAAGCUUAUAACAUUCCUAUGAAAUCAGUUGACAAAUACUUGGAAAUACACGUCAGGUCUGAUUGUUGUUGUUGUUGUUGUUGUUGUGUGUUUUACUUAACGGUGUGUGGAAGGUUUACUUGGACCAAAGAACCAAAGUUGUGGUUACUCCCCUGUCCAAGCGCUCUCCUGGUUGUCUGACGCUGGUGCACGUCUGCCCGUCCUCCCGUGUACGACCCAUUACGUCCCCCGGAUUAAAUGGUUGCUCUACUGGGCUUUGGUACCUCUGUUCUUCCUUCCUUUUGCAGUUGGAUGCAACCUCCUGGGCUCUUUCCCCAACAUGUAUCUAAAAACCCAACUGAAGAGAAACUAUGAACGCAUGGGGAAUAACAGCUAAAUG
rnacentral:lncRNA from 1 species